GUAGAUGACACGCCCAUCAAAGGGAAGCACCUGAAAUGGCUUCGUCAAUCCAUGAUCAAGAUCUACUAGCUUAAUCUCUUAGAAAUAAAUAGGCUUUGCAUGUAUUUAUAGAGAUGAGUGCAUGUAUAAUUUUUAAACUUGUUUCACAUUGUCAUCUAGCGCUCAAAACUCUUAAAAUGAAUACAAGGAUCAACAAACUUGUUUAAGUGUGAUACUCAAGGUAGGAAGUAUCAUAAUUGGAAGAAAAAAAACUUAGUUUAUGUGGCACACAAACAUGGCAUUUGAUAUGCACUAUAUAUGAUUGCAACGACGGCAUCAAAUUUGUACUCGAACGAAUGUUCGUAAGCGUUCUCUCUCGCGACCCUUCUCUUUUCCCCGCUACAGUAAAGAGAGGUGAACCGGAGGCGAGCGCUGUUCCGGCGCCAAUCUCUCCGGUCCCCCCUCUUCUCCGGUGGCCGCGUCGGCGCCGGAGAGGGAAGGGAACCGGGGGAUUUGGUUGUCCGGCUGUAUAGCUCCUAGUCUAGCCUAGAUCUAGAUAGAGUAGCUUAGGGUUUCUCGGGAUGUCGCCGGUGGCGAUGUCUUGCAGACUUGUCUUCCCCGGAGGCAGAGACGGAGAUGAUGGCGGGUCUCGCGUGUUCUCCGACGCUUCCUUUGGGCUUGUCUUCCCCGGCGGCGGCACUGCUUCGGGUCAAGAUUCAAGGAGGAGGUUUGUGCUCUGUCUUUUGGAUGGGAUGGAGCUGUUGUGCUUCCCUUUGGGCAGCUUCUUUUUCCGGGUUGCGAGUUCGGCGGCGGCGGCGGAUUUGGUUUCCGGUUGGGUUGCUUUGGUGCUCCAUGGCGGCCUGAUGCGGACGGUUCGGUUUCUGUGCUGCUGUUGCUCUCUUGGCAAGUGUCAGAACUGUGUUCUGGAACGCACUGGGGGUGGAGAGAAGGGGUUGUUAAGAUUGGGAAGCUUGACGGCCGAUGUUCGUUUACCGAGGACUUCUGGCGGCUUACCUUUGUGCGUCCGCUUCUUUGUCUGGAUGCGAGGUAACGACGGUGGUGGUGCGUUCUGGAGUGCAGCGAUGCAGUUCGAGGAGCAGCAUAGGCAGUCAUUUCCGCGGAAAAAGAAGAAGGGCUUCGUUGUAAUUUCUCAGUCACGAGGGGCCCUUUUGGAAAAAGGGAUUCACUUGUACUUGUUUCUGUUCUCUUUUAAUAUGACGUUAUCCCUUCUCGCAAAAAAAAAAACGUUCUUCUUGUUUCAUCAUCACUAGUGAUUUUAGCGGCCAUGGGCCACGAAUCAACACUAGGAUUAGGCAUCCUGUGUGCACAAAAGUUAGGGAGGACAUUACAUUAUUUUGGUAGAGCUAUACGGAGAGGCGAGGAGUUGGAGCAAUACCCAUACCUUGGCACUAUUCAAACGUGUUCAAGUGACCCAACUGCCUUUAUAAAAAAAAAAAGUGAUCAACUGCUCACUGUUAGCGACACCAGGUGCAGGCUUGCAAUAGUAGCAGUCUGCAACAGUACACACAAAAAUCAAGAGCAUCUGAAACAAAGCGCCAGAAUUGACAUUGCUCUAGUCUAGCAAAAACAACCACCGAAAACCGAUUGGAAGAACAUUGAUCGAACAUUCGUACAACACAUAAUUAACGUAUCUUGUCAAUUAAUCGCCCAUCGGAUGGGCAGGUCCGGUCGCAAUUAACAACCCAAAUGAUCUUAACCAUUGUCCAGACAGACAGACAUGGCGAUAAUCUACGUUUUCAAUCUUGGUACGGCGGCAGCAGCAUGCACUUGACAGAUUCCCAUGAGCUGAAAUGCGCCCACAAAGCGCCGCCUAGCCCUGCUGCAUGGUGGCGCCGUCGCCGUGGCGCUCCAUGACCCGGCGCAUCGCCAGCGCCGCCGCCUCGCUGGCCCGCAGCGUCCCGCUCGCCAUGAUCGCCGCGAACUCCCUCAUCACCUCCUCCUGCACCUUCCCCCUCGCGCUCCCGAGCGGGUCAGCUGCAGGAGCGGGAGCAGAAGCGGGAGCGGCAGCUUCCUUCGAAGCCUCAGCCGCCGCCGGCGGCGGCGCGGGCUCUUCCCGCUUGACGGCGGCCUUAUCGGGCGCCGACGGCACGGAGACGGAGGCGGGCGUGGGCACGAACUGCGUGGCCUGCGGCGCGGCGUUGUUCCGCAGCGUGGACUCGAGGUUCUGGAUCAUGGGCAUGAUCAGCGGGCCCAUGGGGCUGGACAUGACCUCGGAGGGGAGGUUGAGGAUGUACUCGGGGAUGCCGGCGCCGACGAGGAACUGCGCGACCUCGUUGCUGAAGUUGUUGCAGUUGUGGGUGAGGAGGCGGUACGUCUCCGCCGUGAAGCGCGGCGCGAUGUCGCGGAGGUAGUCCUCGAAGACCUCGCGCGGGACGUGCGUGACGCCCAGCUCCACCACCCGCAUCGGCCGCCCGUACGGCGUCGAGCCCGCCGGCGUCGACUGGAUCCCGCCGCCGAAGAAGUACUCGUUCCCGUAAACCACCACGCCCGUGUGCCUGUCGGUCGAUCGCCACAGGAACAGUCAGCCGAGGUUUCCAGAUCCGAGGAAGGGCGAAGGGGAGGAUGGGGAACGCGGCGGGCGAGCUCACCAGAUGGCCUCGAUGGGCUUGCCGAGGAAGGAGGUGGAGAGCUGCCGGGCGAGGCCGUUGCUCAGGUCGUACACGUUCAGCGUAACCUUGUACCCCUCCUGCCGCCAUUAACAACCACCACCACCAUGUCAGUCAGAUCUCUCCCCUCAACCGCGCACGCCGUGGGAUUGAUUGCGCGUACCCGACGAAGAGCGAAUCAAACAAUCGAACGAACGGGCCUUACCUCCGCCAUGAGAGCCGAUCUCCGUGCAGAUCCAAGUCGCAAAUUCGCAAAUCCCUUCAAGAGUCGACGGUCAAUAGCACCAAAACGCGUGGAUCUGGCGGAACGGGGGGAAGACGAGGGGCUCGAUAAAUAAAAGCAACGCGGUCAGAUAGACUAAUGGAGGAAGCUUCUGGAGCCGUCUGGUUGCAGGCGCGGGGCGGGGGAGUUGGAGAAGGAACGGGAUUGGGUCCAGCUUGCGGGGGAGUGGGAGGCCAGUGGGCUCUCGCGGACCGUCCGAUGGGGAUUGGAUGGACCGUGGAGGCUAGCAGAGGGAGCUUUCGUGGAGGAUUCCAAGCGUGAGACGGAGAGGGCGGGGAUCUUCUGGAAGACUGGAACGGGCUCGAAUCCGACUCCGACGCGUGGUUGGCGAGCGCACCUGCUGGAAUUGUGCUCGUGCUCCUUGAGAAUUCCAAUCGCGAUGACGUUUGACGUGACGCCGUUUUCUGUGGUGGGGCGAGACUGCAGGUCUCACUCAGCUCUCGACCUCUCAUGACCUAUUCGCUUCAGCUUAUUCAGCUGACUUAUCAGCCACCAAACAGUAUUUUUGUCUCAUAAUAAAUCAACCGUUUCAGCUUUUCAGCGGGCUUAUAAGCUGAAGCGGGCUUAUAAGCUGAAGCGAAC
rnacentral:lncRNA from 1 species